GUGUUAAUAAAGCUAAGACUCAUAAAUAAGGAGCUGUGUGUACUCAGGAGGUCGAAAAAUCAGUUCAAGACCAGCCCUGCUAUAUGAAAACCUGUCUAAGACAGUAAUAGGCAGGUCUAACUGCUUAACACAUCAAAGAUGCUACUGCUGAAGACCUCACUGGUUUGUUACAGGAUGCAGUGGUUUGAAUUAGAAUGGCCCCAUAGGUUCAUAUAUUUGAAUACUUAGUCCCCAGUUGGUGGACCAGCUUGCAAAGGAUUAGAAGGUGCAGCAGUGUUGGAGAAGGCAUGUCACUGAGAGUGGGUUUUAGGUUCCAAAAGUCCCUACCAUUCAGUUAGUCCUCUCUCUAUCCCUCUGCCUCUCUUCUGUGGAUCAGACAUAAGCUCUUAGCUACUGCUUUAGCCCCUUGUCUGCCUGCUGCUCUGCUCUCCAUCAAGAUCAUCAUGGACUAGUUCUCUGGAACCAUGAGUUGUCACACAUUAAAUGCUUUCUCUUAUAAGC